rnacentral:rRNA from 1 species
AGUGAACGCUGGCGGUAGGCCUAACACAUGCGAGUCGAACGGCAGCACAGUAAGAGCUUGCUCUUACGGGUGGCGAGUGGCGGACGGGUGAGGAAUACAUCGGAAUCUACUUUUUCGUGGGGGAUAACGUAGGGAAACUUACGCUAAUACCGCAUACGACCUACGGGUGAAAGCAGGGGAUCUUCGGACCUUGCGCGAUUGAAUGAGCCGAUGUCGGAUUAGCUAGUUGGCGGGGUAAAGGCCCACCAAGGCGACGAUCCGUAGCUGGUCUGAGAGGAUGAUCAGCCACACUGGAACUGAGACACGGUCCAGACUCCUACGGGAGGCAGCAGUGGGGAAUAUUGGACAAUGGGCGCAAGCCUGAUCCAGCCAUACCGCGUGGGUGAAGAAGGCCUUCGGGUUGUAAAGCCCUUUUGUUGGGAAAGAAAAGCAGCAGGUUAAUACCCCGCUGUUCUGACGGUACCCAGAGAAUAAGCACCGGCUAACUUCGUG